GCCCUUAGAGUUUGAUCCUGGCUCAGGACGAACGCUGGCGGCGUGCCUCACACAUGCAAGUCGAACGAAGCUACUUGGAUAGCUUGCUAACCGGGUAGACUUAGUGGCGGACGGGUGAGUAACACAUGAGUAAUCUGCCUGACAGACCGGGAUAACAGCCUGAAAGGGCUGCUAAUACCGGAUGAUACCAUCACUUACGAGGUGCUGGUCAAAGGUGUUAUAGGAGUGCUUUCGGAUGAGACCGCGUCCCAUUAGCUGGCUGGUAAGGUAAAGGCUUACCAAGCGCGACGAUGGGUAGGCAGUCUGAGAGGAUGGUCGGACGCACUGGUACUGACAUACGGACCAUACUCCUACGGGAGGCAGCAGUGCUGAAUCUUGUGCCAUGCGGGCAACCCUGACGCUACGACUCCGUGUGAGCGAAGAAUGCCUUCUUAUUGUAAAGUUCUGUCUAGGGAGAAGAUAGCGACCGUACCCC
rnacentral:rRNA from 1 species